GCCAUACUUUCCUUUGAAGCAGUGGUGGUAAAGUUUCCCGUUAAAAAUGAAAGGAAAAAAACAACAUUCACCAGACAAUGUUUGACGUAUUGGACAUAAAGUGCUUGAUGGCACUAAAAAGAUAAAGGCGUACACAGUAAGCUUAGAAGGGUAGCUUUAUAACAAGAGUAAACCCAUGAGAAAAACCACGAUCAGAAACCCCUUAUAGGCAUAUAGACGGAACUGGAAUGGAUGAGACCAAUCCGAGUAAAUAUGACUCAUUAAAUUUGGAUCCUCAACUUUAACCCAACAAGUUAUGCUGAAGCUUCUCGCAUGAAAGUCAAUAGCUGGUGUCUCAAGAUGUGUGGUUUUGCCAUCAAAACAAGCUGCCAUGCGUCCACCAUCUUCUUUGUAAACCAUAAAACCAAAGCUCCUAGAAAAAACAACAACAAUAGAAUGCAAGCUUUGGACUGAUGUCUUUUAAGGUCCUUGUCUGUUCCAUCAAGUUUCCAGUACUUUUCUGCAUUUAAGGAAGAAGCUGGAUGAUGAAGCUCUGCAAUAGAAAAGCCGGAUCUCGCUGCCAAGCUUUCUUCCAGUGUAGAUGUAAAACCAAAGGGUAAUGCAAGCGAUGUUGUCAUUUGUAGAGAUGAUGGGACUUGUGAGGGUUUCCCAUGAUCCAAUGCCAGAUGAAGAUAGGUCUGUUUCCAAAUCGACUCAUCGUCCAACCAGGGGAAUUCCUCCAACCACAGUGCUGUUGUAACCAAUCUGUCCAUACAACCAUUUAUCUCCCUUGUUCCCGCUGCGGGUCCAUAGCAACUGCCUAGAGCUGUUCCUCUUGCUGUAGAUGUUGAGCGUUCCUAUAUGGAUUCCCUUCAUGUGGUACCAGAAUCUAAUGCACACUGGUUCUUCACCCUCCAGAAUAUUUCCUGACGAUGUGGUACAAGGAAAAGGGAAAAUACAAGCUAUAAUUCUUGUAAUUUCUGCUACAGACCCCUUGCAGCACGUCGGAAUGAAGCUCAAUUUGGAGGACAUAACAGUUGCUAUUUUACCUGGCUCACUAUGGAUUGGAAGACGUGGACAACUAGACGCAACUAGAGAUAAAGAAUCAAUACCCACACCAAGACCAUGGACGGCCAUGCUUUUACCAAGAAAGUUGAGCUGAAAUACCAUUACAAGAUAUCUGAGCGAUAGACCAGUUCUUACUCUGAAAGCCGCUCAGACUCCAUAUCGCUGAGCCGUUGUGGUUUGAGGGCGUUUUUAGGAUGACUUGAAGUUGUGAAGUACUUGGAAGGAGAAAAUAGAAUGAC